UGCUAGAUAAGGAAUUUAUACAAUAUUCAAUAUAAGAUUAGUUAAAGAUUCCUUUAUGUUUGUAUAAUUAUAGUAGUUCUAUAAGAUAUUACAAGACAAAUGAGAUAAUGGAAACAAAGUUUCACUCUUCAUUUUGGAUUAAAAUGUCCAAAGAGACCUCUUAAGGAAGGCCUUGCUACAUACAGUUUACUUUCAUAAGUAUACAAUAUACACUACCCACUGGUCUCUACUACAGAAAAUUGUUUUACCCUUUUCGGAAUACGAUAAUAUGUGCUUUUUUCCUCUAAAAACAGAAAGAGGGAAAAAGAAAUUCUAUUUUCCUGGGCUAAAGAAUACAAUCAUAAUGAAGUUCAAGCAUGUCUGAUCGAUCACAAAUUUGUAUGACAAUUACAAAUUGUUGUUAUGGACUCCUCCCCUCAAAACUUGAUUCCGCUGUGGUAAUAAACACCAACAUCCUGUAAGAAGACUGUACAUAUGCAAAAUUGCAAGAAUUAAAGAGAGUAACCAACAAGAUAAAAUUCCAAAAAGAUAUUUCCCUUAAGAAAUUUGAGCGCAAGAUUAUACUGCUCAGUAACUUUUUACGGAGUACAUAGGAAGGUAAAACAAGAAAACUCGAACUACAUCUGAACUGUGAAGAUAAAAAACAAGAAUAAUCGAGCAUAUUUUUAAGAGAAGUCUACAAUCAAUGAACUUUUGUAAUUUCUAGCUUACUCCUUGAUUUCUACAUUUUUAACAACAAAGUUCCCUAGACUAGUCUACCGUCAUGGUCAAAGUUAGUCUAGUUAAUUAAUAGACAUGAGAAUACCUCCAUUGUAUCACACAAUGGUCGCAAGUUCCAAACUUGCAUUAUGUUAUAUCACUUGUGCCUGCAGCUUCAGUGUGAUGCAUAUAAAUAGAUUAGAAAAUCCAGACGUACCUCAAGUCAGUUAUACAAUGUUGCUGCAUAGUCUUCACGCAUUGUCAGAUUGACGUAUUUGAUCUUUAUGAAAUACAGGCUACUUUACAAGGCUAUUGACCAACUUCCUCACCAAAAUUUUUUGCCACAAAUUCAUCAAGCUGUCCCCAAUUAGGAGGAUUAGAUUUGCUAUCUGAAGGCAAUGAUCUGAUACAUGCAAGAAUAUGCUGAACAUCGCAAUACAUUCUGUUGCAAAAGAAAAUAAGUUAAUAGUCAUUUUUGAUGAAGAGAAAACAAGUAAGUCAUAACAAUCAACAGAGGAAGAAGUGAAUGACAAACACAGGCAAUAAGAAAAAAGAACAAAAAGAAAAAAGAAAAAAGAAACUUGUCAGCCUUCAACUCUAGGAUAUAUUUGUGUUACUAGAUGCCAUCAAGUUGUUGCUUAAAGUGACGAGAGUAAUGCAAAUUGAGAGAUUAUCAUAUCAUGUGUUAAGCAAUGCUGUUCCAUUUAAUGUGCGCUUUAAAUAAUGAGGCGCAAAGUAAUCUAACCAGACGCAAUUGAUUUUUUUGUGUGUGUGUUUGUUAACCAGAAGCAAUUGACGCUUUGAAGGAGAUAUAGAACACAAC
rnacentral:lncRNA from 1 species